rnacentral:snRNA from 1 species
AACUCAUAACAGCCUGCAAAGUU